UAGGGAAUCUUGCGCAAUGGGCGAAAGCCUGACGCAGCCAUGCCGCGUGAAUGAUGAAGGUCUUAGGAUUGUAAAAUUCUUUCACCGGGGAAGAUAAUGACGGUACCCGGAGAAGAAGCCCCGGCUAACUUCGUGCCAGCAGCCGCGGUAAUACGAAGGGGGCUAGCGUUGCUCGGAAUUACUGGGCGUAAAGGGCGCGUAGGCGGAUAUCUAAGUUGGGGGUGAAAUCCCGGGGCUCAACCUCGGAACCGCCUUCAAUACUGGAUAUCUUGAGUUCGGGAGAGGUGAGUGGAAUGCCGAGUGUAGAGGUGAAAUUCGUAGAUAUUCGGCGGAACACCAGUGGCGAAGGCGACUCACUGGCCCGAUACUGACGCUGAGGCGCGAAAGCGUGGGGAGCAAACA
rnacentral:rRNA from 1 species